GUAGAAAUAAGUUAAUUAAAAACUGUGUGGUUCAUGCCCAAAUAAUGAAAAAAAUAUAUAAAUUUUCUUUCUAUA
rnacentral:tRNA from 1 species